rnacentral:tRNA from 1 species
UCCUCGGUAGUACAGUGGUUAGUAAACCCGCCUGUCCCGUGGGUGACCGGGGUUCGAUCCCCCGCCGGGGAG